rnacentral:tRNA from 1 species
GGGCAUCGCUUUUUUAGCUCAGUGGUCGAGCACUCGCUUUGCAAGCGAGAGGUUUGUGUUAAAUCUCACUCGAGCCCA